rnacentral:misc_RNA from 1 species
GAGAAGAACGUAGCGAAAUGCGAUAAGUAAUGUGAAUUGCAGAAUUCAGUGAAUCAUCGAAUCUUUGAACGCACCUUGCGCCCUUUGGCCAUUCCGAAGGGCAUGCCUGUUUGAGUAUCAUGAACACCUCAACUCUUCAUGGUUUUCCAUGAUGAGCUUGGACUUUGGGGGUCUUGCUGGCCUGUGGGUCGGCUCCUCUCAAAUGAAUCAGCUUGCCGGUUUUUGGUGGGCAUCACAGGUGUGAUAACUAUCUACGCUUGUGGUUUUCCACCAGGGUAACCUUCAGCAGUGGAGGUUCACUGGAGCUUACAAAUGUCUCUCCUCUGUGAGGACAGCCCUUUGAAUGUUUGAUCUCAAAUCAGGUAGGACUACCCGCUGAACUUAAGCAUAUCAAUAAGCGGAGGA